GUGACCGAGAGGAAAGAAACACAAGGCAGCUUUCUUUCUUUCUUUCCAAAAACUUUAUCGAGGGAGUGGAACUAAGAGUGAGGGAGAGAAAAUUUGGUUAGCUUCAUCAUCUGCUGAUCAUAAUCAAGAAGAGAAAGGCAAGGAAAAUAGGAGGGAUAGCUGGUGCAGACCUUGAGGAAACAAAGCUGGGAAAAUCUGGUCAGUCUGCAAUUUUUAACUCUUAAAGGAAAGAGGAGUUGGAGAUUGAAAAGUGAUUGGAUGGAAUUGGAAAGUUGUUUUGGGAAAUUCCAUCACUAUGCGAAUAUAUUGGAGUCACGUUUUCUUUUGUAUUUUAAGAUGGUUGAAUCUUCUGUUUUGAGUUGAUGUAAUAUUAAGAAUGGAUGUUUAGAACGUGUA